rnacentral:rRNA from 1 species
CAGCCGACGAUUGGUCGUGUCGGUUGAAGCCGGUAGGAGGAUAGCCUAGGCAAAUCCGGGUUAUCGUUAACUCCGAGAGGCGAGUACGAGAGGCCUAGCCUCAUAAAGUGGUUGAGCCCAUGCUCCCAAGAAAAACCUCUAGUGAGUCCUGUAGGUGACCGUACCGGAAACCGACGCAGGUGGGUGGGGUGAGCAACCCGAGGCGCUUGAGAGAACCGUCGUUAAGGAACUCGGCAAAAUGACCCCGUAACUUCGGGAGAAGGGGUGCCUCAUUAGGCUGAAAGGGCUUGCCCCUGGAGGCCGAAGAGGCCGCAGAGAAAUGGCUCAGGCGACUGUUUACUUAAAACACAGGACUCUGCCAACGCGCAAGCGGAUGUAUAGGGUCUGACGCCUGCCCGGUGCUGGAAGGUUAAGGGGAGGGGUUAGUGGCGGCAACGCUGCGAAGCUCUGAACUGAAGCCCCAGUAAACGGCGGCCGUAACUAUAACGGUCCUAAGGUAGCGAAAUUCCUUGUCGGGUAAGUUCCGACCUGCAUGAAUGGCGUAACGACUUGAGCGCUCUCUCAACGACGGACUCAGUGAAAUUGUAGUGCCAGUGAAAAUGCUGGCUACCCACGACGGGACGGAAAGACCCCGUGCAGCUUUACUAUACCUUGUCAUUGGAGUUUGAUGUUGGAUGUGUAGGAUAGGUGGGAGGCGUAGAAGCGGGAGCGCUAGCUCGCGUGGAGCCACCGUUGAAAUACCACCCUUCCUUCAUUGAGCUUCUAACCUCAGACCGUGAGCCGGUUGGGGGACAGUGAUAGGCGGGUAGUUUGACUGGGGCGGUCGCCUCCUAAAAUGUAACGGAGGCGCCCAAAGGUCCCCUCAGGCUGGAUGGAAACCAGUCAUCGAGUGCAAAGGCAUAAGGGGGCUUGACUGCGAGAGGGACACCUCGAGCAGGUGCGAAAGCAGGGCUUAGUGAUCCGGCGGUACCACGUGGAAGGGCCGUCGCUCAACGGAUAAAAGCUACGCCGGGGAUAACAGGCUGAUCCCCCCCAAGAGUUCACAUCGACGGGGAGGUUUGGCACCUCGAUGUCGGCUCGUCGCAUCCUGGGGCUGAAGAAGGUCCCAAGGGUUGGGCUGUUCGCCCAUUAAAGCGGUACGCGAGCUGGGUUUAGAACGUCGUGAGACAGUUCGGUCCCUAUC